rnacentral:rRNA from 1 species
GAUGAACGCUAGCGGCAGGCUUAAUACAUGCAAGUCGAGGGGCAGCACGGUUAGCAAUAACUGGUGGCGACCGGCGCACGGGUGCGUAACACGUAUACAAUCUACCUUAAACAGGGGAUAGCCUUUCGAAAGAGAGAUUAAUACCCCGUAAUAAAUUGAACGGCAUCGUUUGAUUUUGAAAGCUCCGGCGGUUUGAGAUGAGUAUGCGUCUGAUUAGCUAGUUGGUGAGGUAACGGCUCACCAAGGCGACGAUCAGUAGGGGAUCUGAGAGGACUAACCCCCACACUGGUACUGAGACACGGACCAGACUCCUACGGGAGGCAGCAGUAAGGAAUAUUGGUCAAUGGAGGCAACUCUGAACCAGCCAUGCCGCGUGCAGGAUGACGGCCCUAUGGGUUGUAAACUGCUUUUAUACAAGAGAAAACCCUGGUACGUGUACCAGGUUGAUAGUAUUGUAAGAAUAAGCAUCGGCUAACUUCGUGCCAGCAGCCGCGGU